UCUGCCUGCAGACAGAGAAGCGUCCUAAAAUCAGAAGGAGGUGGAUGACGUUUAUUCGUUCUCUCCAGUGUCGACGGUGAACUGUGAUCACAGCAGCAGGAGAUAUUUUUAGGUCCAGGCAUACAGAUUUAAUAAGUCACUCUGACUGAAUUUAACACACACACUCACCCUAUUCUGAAAGCUGCUGGAGCACAAAUAUGGAAGUGGGUAAUAUUUCAUUAUGCACCAUGGGCGAGGCAGCCGACCUAUCUUUAGAGCAAAUGCAUAAUUUAGUGAGUCCUCUCUCCUCCAACAUGCAGCAUAUUAUCACACCAUUACCACGGUGUUCAGAUGUCCAUCACACCACCUCAGACUCAGCAGAGAUCUACAGACGUUCCUCCUCCUGGUUAAACCAGAGCCCAGAGGAAAUCAGACGAGUUACAUUGUCCCACAGAGCAGAGGAAGAGCAAACAUGUUCAGCAACUGUCUAGAAAAGAGGAGGAGAGGAGAGAAGAGUGUGUGUGUGUGUGUGUGUGUGUGUGUGUGUGCCAACUGAAGCACUGACAGAAGAAACAACUUGAAGCACUAAAUUGUUUUUUACAACCAUGUGACCCAGUUAUGUAACAGUGACGUAAAACAAAAACAUCCUGUUCUACAAGUCAAGGAUUCAGGUGAUUUAUGUGUUGUUGUAUAAUUAAAGGGACGAUAACAA